CGGGUGAGUAACACGUGGAUAACCUACCUAUAAGACUGGGAUAACUUCGGGAAACCGGAGCUAAUACCGGAUAAUAUUUUGAACCGCAUGGUUCAAAAGUGAAAGACGGUCUUGCUGUCACUUAUAGAUGGAUCCGCGAUGCAUUAGCUAGUUGGUAAGGUAACGGCUUACCAAGGCAACGAUGCAUAGCCGACCUGAGAGGGUGAUCGGCCACACUGGAACUGAGACACGGUCCAG
rnacentral:rRNA from 1 species